ACCUGAGGGGCUCCAAGUACAUUGGG
rnacentral:piRNA from 1 species